UUGCGCCAAAUAGGAGGUCCAAGGGUGCAUACACUCCCCUUUACUAUGAUUUCUAUGUACCUACAUAUUGCCAAGGGAGAGCUACAGACACUGUAGCUGUGUGGUAAAUCUCUUUUACAGCACAGGCAGUGGUAUGGUACAAACACUACUUAUUUAGACCACACAGCACUGACUUGCAUUAAGUAAAUUCAUGCAAACUAUGGCUUGCUUCUUAUUCUCUUUCACAAGGUUGGUUAUUCCUGCAGGAGGCAGCAAGCUUUGUGCUCAGUAAGUUUGGUGUGGAAGUUGCUCAUUGCAGAAGAUGGAUGAUAAUGGGUGGAUGGGAUAUGGUUUUGUUCUUCCCAGGUGCUGCCUCUCCCUCACAGCUGCCAGACACUUGCGUGUGCCCCUUUGGCAGUGCUAUCGGCAUUAUACAGCCCAAGAUUUUAAAAAAUCAUGAACGAGACAUUUCUCCAAAUCAAAACAUGGACAGUGAAUUAGAUUAAAUGAAAUAAAGGGAAGGUUCAUUUCCCCUCAGUACUAAAGGAAUGCCAUGUCCAGGUUUGAGCACUGGGCCUCAAGAAAGAUGUGAAAAAAAUGAAGAGGGAAGGCAGUCUUCGUAAUUAAAGGUCUUGAAAACAUGAUUAAUGAGGAAAUGCUGGAAAAAAACACUGCACUCCAUCGCCAUGGCAGGUAAAACAAAAAAAAAAUGGUUUUAAAUUGCAGCAAGAACAGUUUAGGCUAGCUAUCAGAAAGCAUUUUGUUAUAGCAGGGCUGCUCUAAGUGGUGGAGUGGAUUGUCUUGGCAGGCGGUGCACUCCUCAGUGUGGAAGGUGCUUAUGAGCAGCUUGGACGAACAUGCAUCAGAAAUGACACCAACAUAACUAACACAGCCUCGAAGAAGCCAGACUGACUGCAAAUGAAGUCCACUAUUCAACUGGGAAGGAACUGAGCGAUUCAUAAUGAAAAGGCUGUGAUUUCUGUAUUUCAGCAAGAAGCGAGCUUCCGAGACACAAGCCUGGCUUGCAUACAUCCAUUGCAUACAUCCAUUGCAUACAUCCAGGCUGGACUGGGCUCAGAGUGUCCCCAGGUCCUGUGUGCAAUUUCUGUGUCAGCAGAAAGCCACCCUGGUUUGUGGGACACACCUUUUCCUAUUGAGGGAGGGCAUGUACAUUGGUGUUUUCCUGCCUGACAUUUCCUUUGGCAUAUCACGUGUUUUUCUGCAAGCUAAUUGCAUGCAAUAGCUUGUGCUACAGUAUGCAAGGCUCUCUGUCCAUGGAAAGUAUCUUCAUUUAAACUAAUAAUGUGGAGCCUCGAUGUGAGCUGACACUCACUUUUAAUUACUGUUGGCCAAUUCACCCCCGCUAUGCUGAAGCAAGCCUAACCUGCUCUGCACCACAGGAGUCAGCAAGAGGAUGUUGCAGUGAUAAAGGGGAGAAGAAAGGGGGUGAACCCUGAUUCGAUGGAGGGACAGGAGAGUGCAGUUGUCAUUAGAGAUGUGAGUUUGGGAACGUUUUUAUCUCUCCCGCUUUCCACAGCAGCAAGUCCUGCACCACAGCCAAUGAGCGAAGCACACUGCAGACUUGCCCUCCUCUCUUUCCAAAAUCCUCAUGGUGCUGUCAAGAACUACAGCAAACAGGGUACAUCCACUUCUCGAGCAGAACUGUCUGGAGACAGGAAGAGCCUUCUGAGAGGGUCUGAGCAGAGCAGUGGGGAUUAAAAGGAACUUGUGGCCCAUGUGAGGUGAGGCUCCUCGGAGGAGAAGACAGCCUGUGACUGGGAACAGAGGACAAGAGGGCAGGAGAGACAGGAGUGCCAAAGGGAUUUUCACAUGAGGAUUUCUUGGCUUUUUUCACUAUUUAUUUUUCUUGAAUCGUAGAAUCACAGAAUCAUUUUGGCUGGAAGACACCCUCAUGAUCAUCAAGUCCAACUAUUAACAUAACACUGGCAUUCAACCACGUCCCUAAGAACCUCAUCUACACAUCUUUUAAACACCUCCAGGGACAGAGACUCAACCACUUCACUGGGCAGCCUGUUGCAGUGAUUGACAACCCUUUCCAUGAAGAAAUUUUUCCUAAUAUCCAAUCUAAACCUCCCUUGGCACAACUUGAGGACGUUUGCUCUUGUCCUAUCACUUGCUACUUGGGAGAAGAGACCACCACCUUCCAUGCUACAGCCUCCUUUCAGGUAGUUGUGGACAGUGAUAAGGUCUCCCCUCAGCCUCCUUUUCUCCAGGCUAAAGAGCCACCGUUCCGUCAACCACUCCUCGUAAGACUUGUACCCUUUCAAAAUAGAGGGGUUUUCUUGCUCAGCACAUGAUGAAUUUGCCUUGUCCCAAGCUGCAGGGCGCUUGGGGAUAGAGCCUGCCAGCAGCACUGCCUGGGCCGUCUUGCCAGGAGGGUAAAGCAAAGCCUGACCUCUUAUAUAGCAACCGGAGCAGGGAGCUGCUUGGGACACACGUAAUCACCCAGCAUGGAACGUGGGCAGGCCAGCGGGGUUACCACCUCUGCUCCAGGGAGAACUGGGAAGAAAUCUUAGUUAAUAUAAAACUGCAAUCUUUGUCACCCCUGAGUCUGACCCACCUGAGAGGCAGUGCAUGCGUUUAGCUGCUGGAGCAGAGCCUCAGCAGAUACACGGAGGCUUCUAUACAGAGCACGCCUUUUGUGCCGACUCCAAGGGAAUAAUGUCACCUACCCAGGCACCAGCUCCACUUUCCACAGAGCCUGAGUUUUUCCUUAGAAGUUUCCUAUUCAAGAGCUUAGCCUGACCAGGUCUGACCUUGCUUAGCUUAAGAGAUGUAACAAGAUCACUGCCUGAGGUGUGAAAUGACACUGGAAUGGAGGUCAUGAUCUUCUGAAGAGCAUCUUCUUCCUCUGCUGCGACAUCUCCUCCUGGUUCCCCUGCCCCAGCAUCCAACUAAUCAGGCAGAAACAAAUGCAUCACGCUUCUAGCACUCCACUGGCAGAAUAUAAAAAUCUGCCCUUUCGGCUAUUCAGCCAUCUCAGUGGUACAGACAUUUUUUUAAUGUAUAUGAAUCCAAAGAUCAAGCAGUUCAUUUUUUAGGUUUGGUGGCGUGGUUUUUUUUUGUUUUUUUGUUUUUCUUUUGUCACUACUUCAGCAGAAACAAAAAAUGUUUUCUAUAGCUCUAUCUCUGCAAGAUGCCAAAACAGAUUAACAGACAGACGAACAGACAGUGUCUUUUAAGCAAUGUGGACAGCACACCAAAUCAAUCAUUCUGAAUGAAUAAUACAUUUAAGAGCUGCAGCAAUAUGAACAGCAGAAAAUUCAUCUGCAUCUACAGUGAAACUACCUGGACCCAUUUCAAGAUGGAAUAUUCUGCAGAAAGCACAGAAGGCAGUUUUAUUUUGAUAUUUCAGAUACCAUAAGAAUGAAUUUGUGCAUAUGUCAAUCUGUUGCGUGCUAGACAGGGAUGGUUCUGUGAACGGACAUUACAAUGUAAAACUUUAGAUUGAGCUAUGGAGAAUACACAGUUUUUUAUUUACAGAGCAUUAGAAUAGCACGAUCUACAAAAAACAUUCAUAAGGGACUUCUAUGAACUGCUAUGAAAAAGCUUCUUUUGUAGGGAGCCAUGGGCUGUAUAAUGUUUUUAUUGUGAUGCGGUGAAGAAUGAGCUUUAGAAGCAAUCUUAGCAGGAUAAACGUGAAGAUAAAUUAAGCCUGAAUAAAAAAAAAAAGCAUUGAAAUUCAA